CCUACGGGAGGCAGCAGUGGGGAAUAUUGCGCAAUGGGCGAAAGCCUGACGCAGCGACGCAGCGUGAGGGAUGAAGGUCUUCGGAUCGUAAACCUCUGUCAGCAGGGAAGAAAGGUCACUGUGCUAAUCAGCAGUGAAUUGACGGUACCUGCAAAGGAAGCACCGGCUAACUCCGUGCCAGCAGCCGCGGUAAUACGGAGGGUGCGAGCGUUAAUCGGAAUUACUGGGCGUAAAGGGCUCGUAGGCGGGAUGUCAAGUCAAGGGUGAAAUCCCCGCGCUCAACGUGGGAACUGCCUUUGAUACUGGCAAACUUGAGUGUGUGAGAGGAUAGUGGAAUUCCAGGUGUAGGAGUGAAAUCCGUAGAUAUCUGGAGGAACAUCAGUGGCGAAGGCGACUAUCUGGCACAUAACUGACGCUGAGGAGCGAAAGCGUGGGUAGCAAACAGGAUUAGAUACCCGGGUAGUC
rnacentral:rRNA from 1 species